GCCUUCGUGGUGUAGUGGUCAGCACACUCGAGUGGAAACCGAGAGGGCCGUGGUUCGAUUCCCGGCGAAGGCG
rnacentral:tRNA from 1 species